AAGGAUUCCCCUAGUAACUGCGAGUGAAGCGGGAAAAGCUCAAAUUUAAAAUCUGGCAGUCUUUGGCUGUCCGAGUUGUAAUCUAGAGAAGUAUUAUCCGCGCUGGACCGUGUACAAGUCUCCUGGAAUGGAGCGUCAUAGAGGGUGAGAAUCCCGUCUUUGACACGGACUGCCAGGGCUUUGUGAUAUGCUCUCAAAGAGUCGAGUUGUUUGGGAAUGCAGCUCAAAAUGGGUGGUAAAUUCCAUCUAAAGCUAAAUAUUGGCGAGAGACCGAUAGCGAACAAGUACCGUGAGGGAAAGAUGAAAAGAACUUUGGAAAGAGAGUUAAACAGUACGUGAAAUUGCUGAAAGGGAAACGCUUGAAGUCAGUCGCGUUGGCCAGGGAUCAACCUUGCUUUUGCUUGGCUUACUUUCUGGUCGAUGGGUCAGCAUCAAUUUUGACUGGUGGAAAAAGUUCAAGGGAAUGUGGCAUCUUCGGAUGUGUUAUAGCCUUUGUUCACAUACAUUGGUUGGGAUUGAGGAACUCAGCACGCCGCAAGGCCGGGUUUUUAACCACGUACGUGCUUAGGAUGCUGGCAUAAUGGCUUUAAUCGACCCGUCUUGAAACACGGACCAAGGAGUCUAACAUGCCUGCGAGUAUUUGGGUGAAAAACCCGAGUGCGUAAUGAAAGUGAAAGUUGAGAUCCCUGUCGUGGGGAGCAUUGACGCCCGGAUCUGACCUUUUGUGACGAUUCUGCGGUAGAGCAUGUAUGUUGGGACCCGAAAGAUGGUGAACUAUGCCUGAAUAGGGUGAAGCCAGAGGAAACUCUGGUGGAGGCUCGUAGCGAUUCUGACGUGCAAAUCGAUCGUCAAAUUUGGGUAUAGGGGCGAAAGACUAAUCGAACCAUCUAGUAGCUGGUC
rnacentral:rRNA from 1 species